rnacentral:rRNA from 1 species
UACAGAGGUCUCAAGCGUUGUUCGGAUUCAUUGGGCGUAAAGGGUGCGUAGGCGGCGCGGUAAGUCGGGUGUGAAAUCUCGGAGCUUAACUCCGAAACUGCAUUCGAUACUGCCGUGCUUUGAGGACUGGAGAGGAGACUGGAAUUUACGGUGUAGCGGUGAAAUGCGUAGAUAUCGUAAGGAGACCAGUGGCGAAGGACGGGUCUCUGGACGUUCCUGACGCUGAG